rnacentral:tRNA from 1 species
CUCGGCCCAAAAAUUCGCCGAUCCAUCAUGAGAUGAUAUCCAAUUUCAUUUUCAAAUUUAUCCUCCGGAAACAUCUGAAAAUAA